UACGGGGGGGGGCAAGCGUUGUUCGGAAUUACUGGGCGUAAAGGGCUCGUAGGCGGCCAACUAAGUCGGAUGUGAAAUCCCCAGGCUUAACCUGGGAACUGCAUCCGAUACUGGAUGGCUUGAAUCCGGGAGAGGGAUGCGGAAUUCCAGGUGUAGCGGUGAAAUGCGUAGAUAUCUGGAGGAACACCGGUGGCGAAGGCGGAUCUCUGGGCCAUUACUGACGCUGAGGAGCGAAAGCGUGGGGAGCGAACAGG
rnacentral:rRNA from 1 species